GAACUGAAGAGUUUGAUCAUGGCUCAGAUUGAACGCUGGCGGCAGGCCUAACACAUGCAAGUCGAGCGGUUGAAGGAAGCUUGCUUCCUGAUUCAGCGGCGGACGGGUGAGUAAUGCCUAGGAAUCUGCCUGGUAGUGGGGGACAACGUUUCGAAAGGAACGCUAAUACCGCAUACGUCCUACGGGAGAAAGCAGGGGACCUUCGGGCCUUGCGCUAUCAGAUGAGCCUAGGUCGGAUUAGCUAGUUGGUGAGGUAAUGGCUCACCAAGGCGACGAUCCGUAACUGGUCUGAGAGGAUGAUCAGUCACACUGGAACUGAGACACGGUCCAGACUCCUACGGGAGGCAGCAGUGGGGAAUAUUGGACAAUGGGCGAAAGCCUGAUCCAGCCAUGCCGCGUGUGUGAAGAAGGUCUUCGGAUUGUAAAGCACUUUAAGUUGGGAGGAAGGGCAGUAAGCGAAUACCUUGCUGUUUUGACGUUACCGACAGAAUAAGCACCGGCUAACUCUGUGCCAGCAGCCGCGGUAAUACAGAGGGUGCAAGCGU
rnacentral:rRNA from 1 species